CGCCACUGUUACUAGUUCCAAACCAAAGAGAACAAAGACAAUGGCGGCGAUUUCUUGUCACUCUAUGCUUCCAUAAAACAAAGUCUCUUUCUCCUCGUCUUCCUAUUCUUUCUCCAGUAAUGUUGUCUCCCAGUCUGCUCGAUUCUCCGGUGUAUCGGUUUCUUCUCGGGUGAUUCGUGGGAGAAUCUCGUUCCAGACCUCCUCUGCUACCUCUUCGUCUUCCUCUUCCGCCAAUGGCAAAGGAAUCCACAGACAAAUGACAUUUAUGAAUAUAAAACUCCAUCUCCUGUAGACUUUUCUUCUCCAGAACUGCAUCUGUUGGAGAAAUUUCAGUUUUGAUUAAUACCAAGAAAAUAUGGAAGGCGAGAUCGUUUGCGUGACUGGUGCGUCAGGAUUCAUUGGGUCUUGGCUUGUCAUGAGGCUUCUUCAACAAGG
rnacentral:misc_RNA from 1 species